AUACUUACCUGGCAGGUGAGAUAGCAUGAUAUUGAAGGUAAUUUUCACAGAGCUAAACUCACCAAUUGCACUUUGGCUGUGCUGACCCCUCUGAUUUCCCCAAAUGUGGGAAACUCAACUACAUAAAUUUGUAGUAGUGGGGGACUGA
rnacentral:snRNA from 1 species